rnacentral:rRNA from 1 species
AGGACGAACGCUGGCGGCGCGCUUAACACAUGCAAGUCGAGCGAGAACCGAAGCCUUCGGGCCUCGGGGAAAGCGGCGAACGGGUGAGUAACACGUGGGCAACCCACCCUUGGUACCGGGAUAGCCCGGGGAAACCCGGAUUAAUACCGGAUGGCCCAGCAGCCUUACGGGGCGGCUGGAAAAGGGAGCUUCGGCCUCCGACCAAGGACGGGCCCGCGGCGGAUUAGCUUGUUGGUGAGGUAACGGCCCACCAAGGCGACGAUCCGUAGCUGGUCUGAGAGGACGAUCAGCCACACUGGGACUGAGACACGGCCCAGACUCCUACGGGAGGCAGCAGUGGGGAAUAUUGGACAAUGGGCGCAAGCCUGAUCCAGCCAUGCCGCGUGAGUGAUGACGGCCUUAGGGUUGUAAAGCUCGUUUGGGCGGGGACGAUGAUGACGGUACCCGCAGAACAGCCCCGGCUAACUUCGUGCCAGCAGCCGC